GACGAAGGGGGCUAGCGUUGUUCGGAAUUACUGGGCGUAAAGCGCGUGUAGGCGGUUGCCCAAGUCGGGUGUGAAAGCCUUGAGCUCAACUCAAGAAAUGCACUCGGUACUGGGUGACUAGAGGACCGGAGAGGAUAGUGGAAUUCCCAGUGUAGUGGUGAAAUACGUAGAGAUUGGGAAGAACACCAGUGGCGAAGGCGGUGCUCUGGGCCGGAACUGACGCUGAGGAGCGAAAGCGUGGGGAGCAAACAGG
rnacentral:rRNA from 1 species